CCUCGGGGGGCUGCAGUGGGGAAUAUUGGACAAUGGGCGAAAGCCUGAUCCAGCCAUGCCGCGUGUGUGAAGAAGGCCUUCGGGUUGUAAAGCACUUUCAGUGGGGAAGAAAGCCUUGGGGCUAAUACCCUCGAGGAAGGACAUCACCCACAGAAGAAGCACCGGCUAACUCCGUGCCAGCAGCCGCGGUAAUACGGAGGGUGCGAGCGUUAAUCGGAAUUACUGGGCGUAAAGCGCGCGUAGGCGGUCUGAUAAGCCGGUUGUGAAAGCCCCGGGCUCAACCUGGGAACGGCAUCCGGAACUGUCAGGCUAGAGUGCAGGAGAGGAAGGUAGAAUUCCCGGUGUAGCGGUGAAAUGCGUAGAGAUCGGGAGGAAUACCAGUGGCGAAGGCGGCCUUCUGGACUGACACUGACGCUGAGGUGCGAAAGCGUGGGUAGCAAACAGGAUUAGAUACCCGGGUAGUC
rnacentral:rRNA from 1 species